ACCACCUUUUCCACUUAGUUGAAUACCUGUUUUUCCCAUUUCUUCUGACUUUUAAUGUUCACAGAAAUCCCUAAAUCUUCUGUUCUUCAGCUUGGUUUUAAAAUCUGCAUGUUCUCUUGAUGGGAUCAGAGGCACGAGCGUGAGUGGGUGGAUGGUGGGAGCAGAGCUCGGCUUUCAUGUAAAGAUGAGCAGCUAAGAUGAAAAGUUAGAGGCGGCUUUAAUGUUUCUAGCGUGAGUUCAUCGUGUGAGAAUUGAAGCUGAAAUAACUCUGAAGUGGCUGAGAAAAGCCGCUCUGAGGAGCAAAUUAAAACUAAAUAAAUGCUGCUGGUCCUCAUUGAAUUUUUUUCUCUCUCUAAGUGGCAGUGCAUUAGUUGAAGUGGUCUGAAGGUCUUUGCAUCCUGUGUCCCCGCCAUUUGAGGCAGGAAUCAACUCAAUUGUCAAAAUUUCACAAAUUUUAUUCAAAUUCAAAUUCAGCUUUAUUCAUAGAGCACUUUUACGGUUACAGAACCCCUCAAAGUGAUUGACAGCAAAUAAAAAACGAGUUUAAAAACAAAAAAAACAAGGAAAAAUGGCCCAUAAAAUCUAAUUAAAACAUGAGGAAAUGUAAAAACAACUUAAAAGCUCAACCAAAAAGAUGAGCUUUACGUGUUGAUGAUUUUGUAUGAGUUCCAUUAGAUUUAUCUAAAUCAAGAUACUUGUCAAAACCUGUGGGAUUAUUCUGAUUUGUCGACUUGCUAAACUUUCAAGCACCAAUACAAAAAUAAGCAUAAAAGAGUCAUAGGACAGCUGUUCAUCUCAGAAUCUCAUUAAAUAUGAAAUGAGACAGAAAAAUACUUUAAUGCUUCGAUGUCAGAAUAUACAAUUAUUUUAGAAUGUAUUGUAACACACAGAAAGACGGCCUCCAUCAGCACUAACGUAUUUAACUCAGUUCUUGUUUCUUUAAAACUCAAUGUGCUCUGAUUUGUCAGCUGAUGACACUUUCAUCACUCUCUGGUCAACAGGAUAAACCAGGUUCAUGCAGAAGUGGAGAAGGAUUGAAUCAAAUAGCAGUUUUUGAGGAGCUAUAUGACGUUUGUAAUUUGUGAUACAUCAACGCAUACUUGACCUUUGGUGCUCUUAAUAUAGAAUCAUUUAAGGGUAAUAUGGCAGCAAAUUGUGAAACGUUGCUGCGCAUUGAUUUUUACUGGAUAGCACAGCCCUUCUCCCUCGUGUCUCAUAUUUUCUUAUUGGCUGUUUGUUUGCUCUAAAAAGGCAGAGAGUCUAUUUCAUGACAAUAAAGUGUAGAUUUUCUGUUACUGAACAACACACUUCACUCAGCGGAGGGACUUCUUAUAAAGAGUACUGUAGCGUUAUCGUGCAGUUCUGUGCUUCGUCUGGGUUCCAUCACAACCUGGUUUAUGGUUCUGCUUUGGGCCUACCUCAGUCCCACGUGGAUUCACACAACAGCCUUUAAGACCUGGUCCCCACCCCUGAUAUAACCACUAUUUCUGUUUAAUAGUCUGUAAAUCUAAAGUGUGAAGUGUUCUCUCUCCUUUUAGAAGAGUCCGAAUAAUGUGACCAAACUGAGCCAGUUUUAAAUUGAACAGUGGUUUCAUAGAUAAAACACCACAAUUUCACUCAAAAAGAUGGCAAUGAAUAAGAACAGAAUUUUGCACAUUUUGGGAGGAAUCUCUGUGCUUCUAGGGGGACUACUCCUACUUGUUGCUGUCCAGUUAUGUUUUAGGAGAGAUGUGGAUUAUGAUGUUGGCUAUGGGAUGUUGGAGGUCUCUACAAAAUGUGUCUCUUCAAAAUGAACCAGGAUUUAAUCUGCGUGAAUGUGUUGGAAGACAUUUUUGAAAUUAACACGUCUUAAGUCAAAUUUCGGGUUAAUUGUUAUUCCACUGUAGUCGUUCUACAGCUUUCAUUAAAGUGAUCAUGCAAAAAAAA